UUAGAGAUAAGAGGGUGCUAGCUUGCUAGAACUUAGAGACAGGUGCUGCACGGCUGUCGUCAGCUCGUGUCGUGAGAUGUUGGGUUAAGUCCCGCAACGAGCGCAACCCACGUAUUUAGUUGCUAACGGUUCGGCCGAGCACUCUAAAUAGACUGCCUUCGUAAGGAGGAGGAAGGUGUGGACGACGUCAAGUCAUCAUGGCCCUUAUGCCCAGGGCGACACACGUGCUACAAUGGCAUAUACAAUGAGACGCAAUACCGCGAGGUGGAGCAAAUCUAUAAAAUAUGUCCCAGUUCGGAUUGUUCUCUGCAACUCGAGAGCAUGAAGCCGGAAUCGCUAGUAAUCGUAGAUCAGCCAUGCUACGGUGAAUACGUUCCCGGGUCUUGUACUCACCGCCCGUCACACCAUGGGAGUUGAUUUCACUCGAAGCCGGAAUACUAAACUAGUUACCGUCCACAGUGGAAUCAGCGACUGGGGUGAAGUCGUAACAAGGUAACCGUAGGAGAACCUGCGGUUGGAUCACCUCCUUUCUAG
rnacentral:rRNA from 2 species